GGAUAAUUACUACAUUAUCUAAACCAAAUAAAACUCUUUGAGGCACUGGACAGUUAGCUCCUUGCAUCAAUCAGAUAUUGGGCGUCUGUUUAGGGCAGCUUCAAAGCGACUCAAGGAGUCUGCCCUCACCUCUGUACUCAUUUCAUUCUCUGGUGCGGGAUAAUAAUCUUCUCUCAGUUGUACAUCUCUUAAGUUAGGGAUCCUAAGAAAGAACAUCAUGAAAUGUUCA
rnacentral:misc_RNA from 1 species